CCUACGGGUGACAGCAGUGAGGAAUAUUGGUCAAUGGCCGGAAGGCUGAACCAGCCAUGCCGCGUGAAGGUCAGUGCCCUAUGGGCGUUAAACUUCUUUUGUGCGGGAGCAAUAAUGGUCACGUGUGGCCAGACGAGAGUACCGUACGAAUAAGCAUCGGCUAACUCCGUGCCAGCAGCCGCGGUAAUACGGGGGAUGCAAGCGUUAUCCGGAUUUAUUGGGUUUAAAGGGUGCGUAGGCUGUGAGGUAAGUCAGCGGUGAAAUGCCCCCGCUCAACGGGGUGAAGUGCCAUUGAUACUGCCUGGCUUGAAUGCGGAUGCGGUGGGAGGAAUGUGUGGUGUAGCGGUGAAAUGCAUAGAUAUCACACAGAACACCGAUUGCGAAGGCAGCUCACGAAUCCGCGAUUGACGCUGAUGCACGAAAGCGUGGGUAUCAAACAGGAUUAGAUACCCGAGUAGUC
rnacentral:rRNA from 1 species